GGGCCCAUAGCUCAAUGGUAGAGCCGACCGCUCAUAACGGUCUGGUUGGGGGUUCGAGUCCCUCCGGGCCCACCA
rnacentral:tRNA from 1 species